rnacentral:rRNA from 1 species
ACUCUACGGGAGGCAGCAGUGGGGAAUAUUGGACAAUGGGCGCAAGCCUGAUCCAGCCAUGCCGCGUGAGUGAUGAAGGCCCUAGGGUUGUAAAGCUCUUUCACCGGUGAAGAUAAUGACGGUAACCGGAGAAGAAGCCCCGGCUAACUUCGUGCCAGCAGCCGCGGUAAUACGAAGGGGGCUAGCGUUGUUCGGAUUUACUGGGCGUAAAGCGCACGUAGGCGGACUAUUAAGUCAGGGGUGAAAUCCCGGGGCUCAACCCCGGAACUGCCUUUGAUACUGGUAGUCUUGAGUUCGAGAGAGGUGAGUGGAAUUCCGAGUGUAGAGGUGAAAUUCGUAGAUAUUCGGAGGAACACCAGUGGCGAAGGCGGCUCACUGGCUCGAUACUGACGCUGAGGUGCGAAAGCGUGGGGAGCAAACAGGAUUAGAUACCCCUGUAGUCCCAUG